GAGCCAUUAGCUCAGUUGGUAGAGCAUCUGACUUUUAAUCAUAGGGUCAGAGGUUCGAAUCCUCUAUGGCUCACCA
rnacentral:tRNA from 1 species